AGAAACCAACAGGGAUUACCUCAGUAACGGCGAGUGAAGCGGUAACAGCUCAAAUUUGAAAGCUAGCUCUAUUAGGGUUCGCAUUGUAAUUUGUAGAAGAUGCUUCGGGUGUGGCCCCGGUCUAAGUUCCUUGGAACAGGACGUCAUAGAGGGUGAGAAUCCCGUAUGUGACUGGGUGCUUUCGCUCAUGUGAAGCUCUUUCGACGAGUCGAGUUGUUUGGGAAUGCAGCUCAAAAUGGGUGGUAAAUUUCAUCUAAAGCUAAAUAUUGGCCAGAGACCGAUAGCGCACAAGUAGAGUGAUCGAAAGAUGAAAAGCACUUUGGAAAGAGAGUUAAACAGUACGUGAAAUUGUUGAAAGGGAAGCGCUUGCAACCAGACUUGCGCGCUGAUGAUCAUCCGGGCUUCUGCCCGGUGCACUCGUCUGCGCUCAGGCCAGCAUCGGUUUCGGUGGUGGGAUAAAGGCCUUGGGAAUGUGGCUCCUCUCGGGGAGUGUUAUAGCCCUCGGUGCAAUGCCGCCUACCGGGACCGAGGACCGCGCUUCGGCUAGGAUGCUGGCGUAAUGGUUGUAAGCGACC
rnacentral:rRNA from 1 species